AGCGCACUUUGUGUCGAAGUUAACGCGAUAAGUCGACCGCCUGGGGAGUACGGCCGCAAGGUUAAAACUCAAAUGAAUUGACGGGGGCCCGCACAAGCGGUGGAGCAUGUGGUUUAAUUCGAUGCAACGCGAAGAACCUUACCUACUCUUGACAUCCUGCGAACUUGUGAGAGAUCACUUGGUGCCUUCGGGAGCGCAGAGACAGGUGCUGCAUGGCUGUCGUCAGCUCGUGUUGUGAAAUGUUGGGUUAAGUCCCGUAACGAGCGCAACCCUUGUCCUUAUUUGCCAGCGGGUAAUGCCGGGAACUCUAAGGAGACUGCCGGUGACAAACCGGAGGAAGGUGGGGACGACGUCAAGUCAUCAUGGCCCUUACGAGUAGGGCUACACACGUGCUACAAUGGCCGGUACAAAGGGUUGCGAGCUCGCGAGAGUCAGCUAAUCCCGAAAAGCCGGUCUCAGUCCGGAUCGGAGUCUGCAACUCGACUCCGUGAAGUCGGAAUCGCUAGUAAUCGUGAAUCAGAAUGUCACGGUGAAUACGUUCCCGGGCCUUGUACACACCGCCCGU
rnacentral:rRNA from 1 species